UCCUCAUAACAAGUCUAACUGGCUCUGGAAAGCAGAAAGGGCUGCAGUAGAGCAACAAGGAUGAGAUAUUCCACACAACAACCUGCUUGUCUGGAAUCACUUUCCCUUGCAAGGCCAGAGAAAAAUCCCAGCUUCGUUGUCUGAGAGAAGCAGGACAGAGGAGCUGCAGAAAUGCGACUUCACCUGGAGUCUUUUAUGGUCUGCAGUCCCAGCCAUGUUGGCAUUACAGGACCGAGUUGCCCCUGGGACCCGAAGGGCAACUAUCGCUGCAGAAACCCCAGUGCUGCUGCCUACAGUGACCGUUUGAGAACCAAAACUUUGGAAGAAACCAGGUCGUUAAAACUGUUAUUCUCUCUUCUCAACGAUAACGCGGCUUAUCUAGUCUGAAACAGAAAGUACACCCUUAAGGUAACAUUGUCACUGAAUCCCCAACACCCAGAACUCCCUGUUUCUCAUUCCUUGAAUAAAAUUACAUUAAAAUCCCUUUGAACUCCCA